rnacentral:rRNA from 1 species
UACGGAGGGUGCAAACGUUGCUCGGAAUCAUUGGGCGUAAAGCGCACGUAGGCGGACCGCUAAGUCGGAUGUGAAAGCCCUCGGCUUAACCGAGGAAGUGCAUUCGAAACUGACGGUCUUGAGUAUGGAAGAGGGUCGCGGAAUUCCCGGUGUAGAGGUGAAAUUCGUAGAUAUCGGGAGGAACACCAGUGGCGAAGGCGACUACCUGGCCCAUUCUUGACGCUGAGGCGCGAAAGCUAGGGGAGCGAACGGG